UUACGAUCAUAUCAUGUUGAAACAUCGGUUCCCGUACAAUCACCAAAGUUAAGCAACGUCAAGCUUAGUCAGUACCUAGAUGGGUGACCGCUUGGGAAUACAAGGUGCUGCAAG